rnacentral:rRNA from 1 species
GACGAACGCUGGCGGCGUGCUUAACACAUGCAAGUCGAACGAUGAUCAGGAGCUUGCUCCUGUGAUUAGUGGCGAACGGGUGAGUAACACGUGAGUAACCUGCCCCUGACUCUGGGAUAAGCGUUGGAAACGACGUCUAAUACUGGAUAUGAUCACUGGCCGCAUGGUCUGGUGGUGGAAAGAUUUUUUGGUUGGGGAUGGACUCGCGGCCUAUCAGCUUGUUGGUGAGGUAAUGGCUCACCAAGGCGACGACGGGUAGCCGGCCUGAGAGGGUGACCGGCCACACUGGGACUGAGAAACGGCCCAGACUCCUACGGGAGGCAGCAGUGGGGAAUAUUGCACAAUGGGCGAAAGCCUGAUGCAGCAACGCCGCGUGAGGGAUGACGGCCUUCGGGUUGUAAACCUCUUUUAGUAGGGAAGAAGCGAAAGUGACGGUACCUGCAGAAAAAGCACCGGCUAACUACGUG